UGUUUACGCCCUAUUCUCCGAAACUUCGGGCAGGUGUGGCUGCUCCACCCAGUCUGGGCCCACUCCACCCCCCAGCCCGGGGACGGCUCUCGGGGUCAGAAGACUCCCCACCAUCUUCAACCCCCUCCCGGAAACUGGCUGGCGGGGGUGCCCCCUAGUCUGAAGCAGGGGAUCCAUCGAGGGGGCUGGGAUGUCUUGAAUCUGCCUGGAGUCCAUCUUUGUAUUUAGUGUUAGGCAGGGAUCCAGUACUUUGGGCUGCAUGGACUCGGCCAGUUUUCUCAAGGAUGUCUACCAAAUAAUGGGCCCUUCGCCCCAUCGAUUCGUGGCGCUUCCUUAUAAGCUUCCCAGCAUCUCUGAGCCAGAAGAACCGAGAAAGACCAACACCUUGAUUGGAGAAGCGCUCCACCAACAUUGUUUGGAACAAAACUUGAGUGGGUGAAAGAUGAAAAAUGUGUGUGUAAAGCAUGCAGAAGAAAAGACAGCCAAUGUUGGAAUGAACUGAGCAACGAGAUAAAUAAGGUGGUAAAGUGUAAAAUAACUAUCCGUGAGUCCAUAUUGAUAUA